GCCGGAGUGGCGGAAUUGGCAGACGCAGCAGACUCAAAAUCUGCCGAAGCUUACCCUUCGUGCCGGUUCAAGUCCGGCCUCCGGCA
rnacentral:tRNA from 1 species